UACGGAGGAUGCAAGCGUUAUCCGGAAUGAUUGGGCGUAAAGGGUCCGCAGGUGGCAGUGUAAGUCUGCUGUCAAAGAAUGAGGCUCAACCUCAUCAAGGCAGUGGAAACUACACAGCUAGAGUACGGUCGGGGUAGAAGGAAUUCCUGGUGUAGCGGUGAAAUGCGUAGAGAUCAGGAAGAACACCGGUGGCGAAAGCGUUCUGCUAGGCCUGUACUGACACUGAGGGACGAAAGCUAGGGGAGCGAAU
rnacentral:rRNA from 1 species